AGAUUGAACGCUGGCGGCAGGCCUAACACAUGCAAGUCGAGCGGUAGAGAGGUGCUUGCAUCUCUUGAGAGCGGCGGACGGGUGAGUAAUGCCUAGGAAUCUGCCUAGUGGUGGGGGAUAACGUUCGGAAACGGACGCUAAUACCGCAUACGUCCUACGGGAGAAAGCGGGGGACCUUCGGGCCUCGCGCCAUUAGAUGAGCCUAGGUCGGAUUAGCUAGUUGGUGAGGUAAUGGCUCACCAAGGCGACGAUCCGUAACUGGUCUGAGAGGAUGAUCAGUCACACUGGAACUGAGACACGGUCCAGACUCCUACGGAGGCAGCAGUGGGAAUAUUGGACAAGUGGGG
rnacentral:rRNA from 1 species